rnacentral:rRNA from 1 species
AUUGAACGCUGGCGGCAUGCCUUACACAAGCAAGUCGAACGGCAGCACGGGUGCUUGCACCUGGUGGCGAGUGGCGAACGGGUGAGUAAUAUAUCGGAACAUACCCUAGAGUGGGGGAUAACGUAGCGAAAGUUACGCUAAUACCGCAUACGAACUAAGGUUGAAAGUGGGGGAUCGCAAGACCUCAUGCUCAUGGAGUGGCCGAUAUCUGAUUAGCUAGUUGGUGAGGUAAAGGCUCACCAAGGCGACGAUCAGUAGCUGGUUUGAGAGAACGACCAGCCACACUGGAACUGAGACACGGUCCAGACUCCUACGGGAUGCAGCAGUGGGGAAUUUUGGACAAUGGGCGAAAGCCUGAUCCAGCCAUUCCGCGUGCAGGAUGAAGGCCCUCGGGUUGUAAACUGCUUUUGUACAGAACGAAAAGGUUUCUACUAAUACUAGGAGCUCAUGACGGUACUGUAAGAAUAAGCACCGGCUAACUACGUGCCAGCCGCCGCAGUAA